rnacentral:rRNA from 1 species
GGAAAAGAAACUAACUAGGAUUCCCUUAGUAACGGCGAGUGAACCGGGAUGAGCUCAAAUUUAAAAUCUGGCGUCUUUCAGGCGUCCGAGUUGUAAUCUAUAGAGGCGUUUUCCGCGCCGGACCGCGUCCAAGUCUCUUGGAAUAGAGUAUCAAAGAGGGUGACAAUCCCGUACUUGACGCGACAACCGGUGCUCUGUGAUACGUUCUCAAUGAGUCGAGUUGUUUGGGAAUGCAGCUCUAAAUGGGUGGUAAAUUCCAUCUAAGGCUAAAUAUUGGCGAGAGACCGAUAGCGAACAAGUACCGUGAGGGAAAGAUGAAAAGCACUUUGGAAAGAGAGUUAAACAGCACGUGAAAUUGUUAAAAGGGAAACGAUUGAAGUCAGUCGUGUGAAAGGUAUUCAGCCGUCUCUGGCGGUGUAUUUGCCUUUCACGGGUCAACAUCAGUUUGAUCCGGUAGAAAAAGGCAGGAGGAAGGUGGCACCCUCGGGUGUGUUAUAGCCUCUUGUCAUAUGUGCCGGACCAGACUGAGGAACGCAGCUUGCCGCAAGGCCGGG